rnacentral:rRNA from 1 species
UACGUAGGGAGCAAGCGUUGUCCGGAUUUACUGGGUGUAAAGGGUGCGUAGGCGGCCUUGCAAGUCAGAAGUGAAAUCCAUGGGCUUAACCCGUGAACUGCUUUUGAAACUGUAGGGCUUGAGUGCAGAAGAGGAGAGUGGAACUCCAUGUGUAGCGGUGAAAUGCGUAGAUAUAUGGAAGAACACCAGUGGCGAAAGCGGCUCUCUGGUCUGUAACUGACGCUGAGGUUCGAAAGCGUGGGUAGCAAACAGG